ensembl:lncRNA
CUGAGUGAUAUCACCUCUAAUACAGCUGACCUGAGUGAUAUCACCUCUAAUACAGCUGACCUGAGUGAUAUCACCUCUAAUACAGCUGACCUGAGGGCCAGUUUGUUGGUGCCGUCAUGCAACUACCUCUCAUUGUCAUGCCAAAUACAGGGAUCUGCCUAAAUCUAGGAAAACCCAAUAUACAGGGUGGGUUGCACCAACAUGGAGGAACUCUUAAGCCUUCAUUUAACCCAGUUUCAUCUUCAUCUUGUUGCACCAAACUUUAAAUCUAUUUUUAAAUGAAUCCUAGUUAAAAUGAAUCCUUCUUCUAAUCAUAAGUUUUAGUUUUCACUUUAAACCUAGAGUCAUUUUAAGCUUGAAUAUAAACUUAGAUUGGAGAUUCUGAACUGCCAUUUGAUGUGGUUGAACUGAUAAAAUGACAGGAUAUCGACUGUGGAGAGACCAGAACGACAGAGUUCCUCAGAGAACAUUACGAGACAGGUUGUAUCCUGUUGAGUUUUUUUUAUAAUGAUGAGUUUUCAAGGAGAUGCCGCUUCUCCAAGGAAUCUGUAAUGCAACUGGAAAGAAAGGUUGGACCAAGCGUGGGAACGACGGUAACGAGGAUGUACCCCUACUACUUCAGCUCCUGAUGACUCUACGGUUCUAUGUAACUGGAUGUUUCCAGAUGGUGGAUGGAUGUGGACCUUUCUGGACUCCACAAGUCAACCGUCUACAGGAUUGUAGUGUCCAGUGCUUUUGCCGGCCUGAAGAACGAGUACAUCAGGUUCAGUCCUACAGAGGAAACAGCAGCUGGAUUUUGAGAUGAAAGCUAGAUUCCCGUGUGUACUAUGGGCAAUAGACUGGACACACAUUCCUAUUCCGAACCCUGGUGGUGGGAAUGGAGAACUAUUCUGUAAUCAGAAAGGUUACUGCUCCGUCAACAUGCAGGCUGUCUGUGAUGUCAAAGGUCAGCUCACCAACAUCCUAGCAAGACGGCCAGGAUCCACCCAUGACAGCAGAUACUUUGACAAUAGUCGUCUGUGUGCAAUGCUGGAACGGGGAGCAUAUGAAGGCCCCCUACUACGUAACAAUGGAUAUUCUUGUCAUGGGAACCUUAUGACUCCCCUUUUAAACCCCCAGACACCUGAAGAGAGACAAUCCACCACCUCAUAUCCUGACAAGAGAUCUCAUAGAGAGAGAAUGCACCACCUCUCAUAUCCUGACAAGAGAUCUCAUAGAGAGAGAACACACCACCUCUCAUAUCCUGACAAUAGAUUUCAUAGAGAGAGAACACACCACCUCUCAUAUCCUGACAAGAGAUCUCAUAGAGUUUUUGUAGUAUGGAAGAAAAGAUUCCCUCCCCUACAGGUGGUGCUCUGCAUGAAGAUGGACACUACACUGACAAUCACUAUUGCAGUGGAAGUUCUGUAUAACUUUAGCAAGAGACAAGGAGACAAGCUACCUGAGGAGGCUGAGGAGGACCUACCUGAGGAGGAUGAGGAGAAUGGAGAAGAUGGCCAGGUGCAACAUGCUGUUGAUGUGAAUGCGAUGAGGAGAACUUUGAUUGAGAACCAUUUUUGCAGCCUAACAUGUGUGUGUAUAGUGUAACAUGUAAAAAGCAAUAUUAUAUUUUGACUGACGUGCAAUUCUUAAUAAGACUAUCUGUAUUAAAAUGCAUUAUUAAGUCAUUUGUUAUUCUCGAUCAUAAAGGGGGGAACUGGAAGCACCAGAACAUGAGUGGGGGCACCACAUUGCUAGGGAAAGCAUUGUUUUAAUAAAUAACAAGAUUAGCAUUCUUUCCACAUUUGUUCCCCUGAAGGCGUUUCUGUUUCUGAAUUCGCAGUAGCUCUUUUUUGUAAACUCAGAAUCUCAGUCUGCGGAAUAUUUUUCUCUCCCUCCUGCGCCAAAACAUCAAUAUGAGCUGUUUUAGUCUUGGGUUCUGGGGGCGUUCGAUUGGCCCGGCUAGUUCAAGAUCCAGGCAUUGCUGUUUCUCUACGACAACAGGGUGUCGGCUCAACUGAAGAGAAUCAACUCCUUAUUAGAACUUACCUUCCCAUUUUGUAAUUGAAUUAGAGCUUGUGAUACACCUUGGUAGAAUGAUGACGUUAUGCAACAUGCUGUAACGGGACUGAGAACAGUAACAUUCUAGUGAAAUACUAUUAGCGUUAGUUUCAGUGGUGGAAAAAGUCAUUUCACACUGUUGUAAAAGUAAUGAUAUCUUAAUAGAAAAUAACUCCAGUAAAAGUCAGCCAGUAAAAUACUACUUGAGUAAAAAGUCAAAAGUAUUUGGUUUUAAAUGUUCUUAAGUAUCAAAAGUAAAAGUAUGAAUUAUUUAAUGUUCCUUACAUUAAGAAAUCCAGAUGGCACGGUUUUAUUACAUACAUACAUUGACAGUUUGCCAGUGUCACACUCCAACACUCAGACAUCAUUUACAAAUGAAACAUUUGUGUUUAGUGAGUCUGCCAGAUCAGAUGCAGUGGGGAUGACCAGGGGAUGUUCUCUCGAUAAGUGCCCGAAUUGGACCAGGUUCCUGUCCUGCUAAGUAUUCAAGAAAAUGUAUGGAGUAAAAUGUUGUUUAAGUCUUUUCUUUAGGAAUGUAGUGAAGUAAAAAUAAAAGUUGUCCAAUAUAUAAAUAGUAAAGUACAGAUACCCAAAAAACUGACUUAAGUAGUACUUUAAUAUAUUUUAACUUAAGUACUUUACACCACUGGGUAGUUUUGACAUGCAUUGUAGUCAUUGAUGUUAACCAGUUAUUUAUGCUUACUAAAUAUUGGUGGGACUAGUUGUCCGUUGUCAUCAUAGGGUUAACUGUUCGGGUAUCAUCACAUAUGUCCUGAGAGAGAGACUGUGGUCUGAAAUAUCUUCCGCCUCUCAUCUGCUGCAUUAUUUUUGGCUUUCGCUUUGAAGUUUUUCCCAGCAGCCUUCAUCUGAUUUGUGUCCCUCUCCUCUUUCAUGUCAAUCAUUUAAAUAUGUCGCAUAAAACAGCCCAGGUGUCGUCUUUCAUCCUCCAGUACGUUACUAAAUUCCUCCAUCAGCUCAGUACGUUACUAAAACUAAGUUUACAUACACCUUAGCCAAAUACAUCUAAACUUAGUUUUUCACAAUUCCUGACAUUUAAUCCUAGUAAAAAUCACUUUAUUUUAAGAACAUGAAAUGUCAGAAUAAUAGUAGAGAGAAUGUGGGUCAGAAGUUUACAUACACUCAAUUAGUAUUUGGUAGCAUUGCCUUUAAAUUGUUUAACUUGGGUCAAACAUUUUGGUUAGCCUUCCACAAGCUUCCCACAAUAAAUUGGGUGAAUUUUGGCCCAUUCCUCCUGACAGAGCUGGUGUAACCGAGUCAAGUUUGCAAGGCCUCCUUGCUUGUACACUUUCAGCUCUGCCCACAAAUGUUCUAUAGGAUUGAGGUCAGGGCUUUGUGAUGGACACUCCACUCCAGGUCAGGGCUUUGUGAUGGACACUCCACUCCAGGUCAGGGCUUUGUGAUGGACACUCGACUCCAGGUCAGGGCUUUGUGAUGGACACUCCAGGUCAAGGCUUUGUGAUGGACACUCCACUCCAGGUCAAGGCUUUGUGAUGGACACUCCACUCCAGGUCAGGGCUUUGUGAUGGACACUCCACUCCAGAUCAGGGCUUUGUGGUGGACACUCCACACUCUGAUGCCUAUCAGAAGCUUUUAAAGCCAUGACAUCAUUUUCUGGAAUUUUCCAAGCUGUUUAAAGGCACAGUCAACUUAGUGUAUGUAAACUUCUGAUCCACUGGAAUUGUGAUACAGUGAAUUAUAAGUGAAAUAAUCUGUUUGGAAACAAUAGGACAAAUUACUUGUCAUGCACAAAGUAGAUGUCCUAACCGACUUACCAAAACUAUAGUUUGUUAAGAAGAAAUUUGUGGAGUGGUUGAAAAAUAAUUUUUAUUGACUCCAACCUGAGUGUAUGUAAACUUAUGACUUCAACUGUAUAUGCUGUGUAUAGAGCCCCACAUUGGAGGUGUGAUAAUACCCAUACAACCUAGCGGUGAAACAGAGAAAUGGUUCCAGUCUAUUUUCCACCAUUCAUUCUUCCCAUUGGGGAUAGUUAGAAACACUUAAAAUAAGGUCUGUGUUUCAUGUAGGCUUACCCUGGCGUGACAUUUUAUUAACCUGUAAAUCUCUCUUGGACAAGAUUACUUUUAUCAAUAUAUUUGGCUCUAUUUACUCUCAGAUUUGAAAACACUAAUUAGCAUCAAAGUAGAGAUCGUGAAAAACUACAAAUACAUGUUCCUGCACGUCAUCUCUAGCUGACACCAGGUACAUAACAGGUAUUAUGGAAAUUUCAAACUUGCACAAGACAGUUCACAGAAUUGCAGGAAAUAAACUUUAAAACAGAUGUUUUUUUCUCUCCAACGUCAGGAGGGGGGGGCACUAAAAUAUUUUGCAGUGAGGUAGUGGGGCCCCCAAAAGGCUACUGCCGGCCCUGGAGAUCUGGAUACAAUGCAGCUAGAUAAUAAACUAACGAAGCAGCUGGAAGAAAUACUGGUGGCUAUGACAGAAGCCAAACGUGAGUUGGCUUGGGGGUGUGGUUUGACGUCCUUGCCACCACCAAGACACACCCAUCUGUCAGAACCUUGCCUGCAGCUGUUUCCUCCCCACUCAUUCACAACAAACAAACCUCCUGUAGAUUCAGUUCAAUAACUACAGGCAGAUGUAUGGUGAGAUGCCAGAGGAAGCUUUGACUAGGUCAGUAGUCUACAGAGUAAUAUGAGAAGAAUGCAAUUGUUGAAUUUAUGUAGAUAUUCUAAACUAAGUGUUUUGAUAACUUUCAAUUGUAGUAACAGCUCCAUGUAGAAUAAACAAGCCUUUACAUAAAAC